rnacentral:lncRNA from 1 species
AUGCCUUCAAAAAGUUGGCCUCAUUUUCUGAAGCUGAAAUCCUUUUGAUCAUAAUUACUUCUGACCUAAAAUUACCCACAGUCACCAUACAAUGCCACGCUGGGACAAAAAAGAAAUACAUAUUAUUGCAUUCUUACCCAAAUACUCUUCGUGAUUGCCUGCUUUGCGGUUUUGGGCCGAUGCAAGCUGCAAAAUGGUGAGUCUUCUAAGGUGCCUUUCCUUCCCUGGGAUCCUCAUCUUAGAAUGAGCAGAGGCACAUCGAUAAGAACUGGACCUUGAUUUCACAACCUCAUACAAAGCCAGGCAAUUCUUGAGCCAAACAAACAAAGGGGGUGUAAGCGAUUUCAUUUAUUUUGAUAAUCCUCCUCUUGCACGGGAGCAUUUUGCUGUCUUUGUCAAAGUGAAUGACAACAAUUUGGCCAACUCUCUCUGAGCUGCACUCAACAGUGACAGGCAAAUUAUCAGAGGCCCUGCACUUCUUAUUAUCAGAGGAGAAGCCAUCAGGGGGACGCAUGGAGGAUACCUCUCCCUUGUCACUAUUUGUCAGUGGGACAAGGGC